ACGAACGCUGGCGGCGCGCCUAACACAUGCAAGUCGCACGGAGCUGAGAGAAGCUUGCUUUUCUUAGCUUAGUGGCGAACGGGUGAGUAACGCGUGAGUAACCUGCCCUGGAGUGGGGGACAACAGUUGGAAACGACUGCUAAUACCGCAUAAGCCCACGAUCCGGCAUCGGAUUGAGGGAAAAGGAUUUAUUCGCUUCAGGAUGGACUCGCGUCCAAUUAGCUAGUUGGUGAGGUAACGGCCCACCAAGGCGACGAUUGGUAGCCGGACUGAGAGGUUGAACGGCCACAGUGGGACUGAGACACGGCCCAGACUCCUACGGGAGGCAGCAGUGGGGGAUAUUGCACAAUGGGGGAAACCCUGAUGCAGCGACGCCGCGUGGAGGAAGAAGGUUUUCGGAUUGUAAACUCCUGUCGUUAGGGACGAUAAUGACGGUACCUAACAAGAAAGCACCGGCUAACUACGUG
rnacentral:rRNA from 1 species